CCCUUAGAUGUUCUGGGCAGCACGCGCGCUACAAUGGUCUUCGCAAACGGAUGCAUUCUCGAAGGAGAAUGCCAAUCUUGGAAUCUAUGCCUUGGUCGGGACAGUUGCUUGCAAUUUUUCGACUCGAACCAGGAAUUCCUUGUAUUCGUGAUUCAUCACAUCACGAUGAAUACGUCCCUGCCCUUUGUACACACCGCCCGUCGCUCCUACCGAUCGAAGAGUUAGGUGAAUUGUUUUGAUCGAUAAGAUUUGACUAUGGUCAACUCUCGUUGUGAAAUUCUGUGAAUCUGACUGUUUAGAGGAAGGAAAAGUCGUAACA
rnacentral:rRNA from 1 species